rnacentral:tRNA from 1 species
GGCGAGAUGGCCGAGCGGUCUAAGGCGCUGGAAUCAGGUGGCUACGUAAAAAACACAAACACCCAUCCAGUCCGAAAGGGCGGGGGUUCGAAUCCCCCUCUCGUCA